rnacentral:rRNA from 1 species
UGCGUAUGCGGGCUAAUAAGUCAGUGGUGAAAUCUCUCGGCUCAACCGGGAAACUGCCAUUGAUACUGUUAGUCUUGAGUUCGGUUGAGGUAGGCGGAAUGUGUAAUGUAGCGGUGAAAUGCUUAGAUAUUACACAGAACACCAAUUGCGUAGGCAGCUUACUAGACCGACACUGACGCUGAGGCACGAAAGCGUGGGGAGCGAACAGGAUUAGAUACCCUGGUAGUCC